rnacentral:rRNA from 1 species
UUAACUGGGGUAGUUAUUUCAAUUAAAUUGAAAUUAUUUUUACAGUUUUAAAUAAGUGGAUUUAGUUCUUUUAUAUAAGGAAAAUUAGGUUUAGUUACUUUAGGGAUAACAGCGUUAUAUUUUUGGAGAGAUCUUAUCUAUAAAAAUGAUUGCGACCUCGAUGUUGAAUUAAAAUUACUUUAUAAAGCAGAAUAUAUAAAAGUAGGUUUGUUCAACCUUUAAAUUUUUACAUGAUCAGAGUUCAGACCGGA